rnacentral:rRNA from 1 species
GACGAACGCUGGCGGCGCGCCUAACACAUGCAAGUCGAACGAGCGAGAGAGAGCUUGCUUUCUCAAGCGAGUGGCGAACGGGUGAGUAACGCGUGAGGAACCUGCCUCAAAGAGGGGGACAACAGUUGGAAACGACUGCUAAUACCGCAUAAGCCCACGGCUCGGCAUCGAGCAGAGGGAAAAGGAGCAAUCCGCUUUGAGAUGGCCUCGCGUCCGAUUAGCUAGUUGGUGAGGUAACGACCCACCAAGGCGACGAUCGGUAGCCGGACUGAGAGGUUGAACGGCCACAUUGGGACUGAGACACGGCCCAGACUCCUACGGGAGGCAGCAGUGGGGAAUAUUGCACAAUGGGGGAAACCCUGAUGCAGCGACGCCGCGUGGAGGAAGAAGGUCUUCGGAUUGUAAACUCCUGUUGUUGAGGAAGAUAAUGACGGUACUCAACAAGGAAGUGACGGCUAACUACGUGCCAGCAGCCGCGGUAAAACGUAGGUCACAAGCGUUGUCCGGAAUUACUGGGUGUAAAGGGAGCGCAGGCGGGAAGACAAGUUGGAAGUGAAAUCCAUGGGCUCAACCCAUGAACUGCUUUCAAAACUGUUUUUCUUGAGUAGUGCAGAGGUAGGCGGAAUUCCCGGUGUAGCGGUGGAAUGCGUAGAUAUCGGGAGGAACACCAGUGGCGAAGGCGGCCUACUGGGCACCAACUGACGCUGAGGCUCGAAAGUGUGGGUAGCAAACAGGAUUAGAUACCCUGGUAGUCCACACUGUAAACGAUGAUUACUAGGUGUUGGAGGAUUGACCCCUUCAGUGCCGCAGUUAACACAAUAAGUAAUCCACCUGGGGAGUACGACCGCAAGGUUGAAACUCAAAGGAAUUGACGGGGGCCCGCACAAGCAGUGGAGUAUGUGGUUUAAUUCGACGCAACGCGAAGAACCUUACCAAGUCUUGACAUCCUGCGACGCACAUAGAAAUAUGUGUUUCCUUCGGGACGCAGAGGCAGGUGGUGCAUGGUUGUCGUCAGCUCGUGUCGUGAGAUGUUGGGUUAAGUCCCGCAACGAGCGCAACCCUUAUGGUCAGUUACUACGCAAGAGGACUCUGGCCAGACUGCCGUUGACAAAACGGAGGAAGGUGGGGAUGACGUCAAAUCAUCAUGCCCUUUAUGACUUGGGCUACACACGUACUACAAUGGCGUUAAACAAAGAGAAGCAAGACCGCGAGGUGGAGCAAAACUCAGAAACAACGUCCCAGUUCGGACUGCAGGCUGCAACUCGCCUGCACGAAGUCGGAAUUGCUAGUAAUCGCAGAUCAGCAUGCUGCGGUGAAUACGUUCCCGGGCCUU